rnacentral:rRNA from 1 species
AUGUUCAUCCGUUGGGGACUCGGUGGCCCCACGGUUCCGAAUUUGGGAGGAAACGGGAGAUACUACAUAGAUUUCCCUUUGGCCCACCUACAAAGCGCGGCUCCAGUCCUCCUCUUCCCGUUCCCGUUCGCCUCACGCGUUCCCGUUUUCCGUCCCCGACUCAGAGCCCCCCUCCCGUUCGCCCCUCGUCUCAAGUUCUCGCGCUCCCUCGCCCGCACGGGCCCCGAACCCCUCCCGCCGCCCGCCCAAAGCCCCGGCCGCCGCCCGCCCCCUCGCCCCCGCUCGACCGCGCCGGCGCGGAAGCGGGGAUCCCAUUCGGGCCCCGGCUCGAAUUCGUCUUCCUUCGACGCGGCAUCUGUUCAUCAGUGGUUGAUGAAGGCGGCACAUUGA